GUAGGUGGCAAGCGUUGUCCGGAAUUAUUGGGGCGUAAAGCGCGCGCAGGUGGUUCGUUUAAGUCUGAUGUGAAAGACCCCCCCGGGCUCAACCGGGGGAGGGUCAUUGGAAACUGGGGAACUUGAGUGCAGGAGAGGAAAGUGGAAUUCCACGUGUAGCUGUGAAAUGCGUAGAUAUGUGGAGGAACACCAGUGGCGAAGGCGACUUUCUGGCCUGUAACUGACACUGAGGCGCGAAAGCGUGGGGAGCAAACAGGAUUAGAUACCCUGGUAGUCCACGCCGUAAACGAUGAGUGCUAAGUGUUGGGGGGGUUUCCGCCCCUCAGUGCUGCAGCUAACGCAUUAAGCACUCCGCCUGGGGAGUACGGUCGCAAAGACUG
rnacentral:rRNA from 1 species